GACGAACGCUGGCGGCGUGCUUAAUACAUGCAAGUCAACUUGACUUUAGAUAGCAAUAUCGAAAAGUAGGGUGGCGCACGGGUGCGUAACGCGUAGGUAAUCUGCCCUGAGGUCUGACAUAACCCGUCGAAAGGCGGGCUAACAUCAGAUGAUAUAUAGUCACGACAUCGUGGAAAUAUCAAAUCUUCGGAGCCUUGGGAUGAGCCUGCGUCUGAUUAGGUAGUUGGCGGAGUAAUAGCCCACCAAGCCUACGAUCAGUAGCUGGUCUGAGAGGAUGAUCAGCCACACUGGAACUGAGACACGGUCCAGACUCCUACGGGAGGCAGCAGUAAGGAAUAUUGCUCAAUGGGGGAAACCCUGAAGCAGCAACGCCGCGUGAAGGAUGAAAUACUUUUGUAUGUAAACUUCUGUAAGAUGGGAAAAAUAUUCUCCUCGGGAGAAUUGAUUGUACCAUCAGAGUAAGCCCCGGCUAACUACGUGCCAGCACG
rnacentral:rRNA from 1 species